rnacentral:lncRNA from 1 species
CAUAAUUUAUUAUUAAUUGAUAAAUUUAUCGAAUUCAAAUACCAUUUGUUAAUUCAAUUUAUUUGAUCUGUCUCCUUUUAAUUGAGUAAACUUCAAAUACCACUCCUAUGAUUUUAUAUUUUUUCACUUUAGUAUCCUGUGAUUUAAAGUGUAUUAAUUUAGUACCCUAUAGUUUCAUUUUUCUCUUUUUUAUUAGCCCCUUCAUUAGCUUUUUGUUAAAUUAUAUACAAAAAAAUUUCAGAUACCCAACCUAUAGUUUAUCGAAUAUUUACUUUAGUAUCUUUUAGUUUUAACUUUGUCACUGAUUUAACGAAAAAAAUUAAUAAAGAGGAUAACGAAAAGAAAAAAAUAAAACCAUAGGGUACACGCAAGUAUACAUUUCAAAACACAGAAUACUAAAGUGAGAAAGUACAAAACGGCAUGAGUGAUUUUUUUUUUGGGAAAACUUCAAAUACCACCCAUAUGGUUUCGUACUUUUUCACUUUAAUACGUACCCUAUGGUUUAAAAUGUAUCAAUUUAGUACCAUGUAGUUUCGCACUUUCUCACUUUAGUAUCCUGUGGUUUAAAGUGUAUCAAUUUAGUACCAUGUGGUUUCAUUUUUCUCUUUUCGUCGGCUCCUCUCUUAAUAUUUCGUUAAAUUAUAUAUAAAAAACUUCAGAUAUCCUACAUAGAUUUAUUGAAUAUUUACUUUAGUACCCUUUAGUUUUAAUUUUGUCGCUGAUAUUUUUUUCCUUCGUUAAUAUUUCGUUAAAUUAUAUACAAAAACUUCAUAUAUCCUACCUAGAUUUAUCGAAUAUUCACUUUAGUACCCUUUAAUUUUAACUUUGUCACUGAUUUAACGAAAAAAAUUAAUAAAAUGGAUAAUAAAAAGAGAAAAAUAAAAUCACAGGAUACUAACUUGAUAUAUAUAUUUUAAAUCAUAGGGUGCUAAAAUGAAAAAGUACGAAACCACAGUAGCUAACUUGAUACACUUUAAACUACAAAAAGCUAAAGUGAGAAAGUGCGAAACCACAGGGGAUAUUUGAAGUUUUUUUUUUUUUUUGGUUGAGUAAAAUAAGUUAGAAGU